CUCUUCCUCCUCCUCCUCCUCCACCUUCUCCACCUCCCUAAUUACUACUACUACAACUAUAUUUUCCAUGAACUAAUUUUUCUCCGUCACAAUGAAUAUCCUUAAGAUCGACUAUUCCUCGUGUAACAAUCUCCUCGAAGGACCAACAUCUCUUCCUCCUCGUCCUCGAGGAUCCCGUUGGCGGCCGCGUUAUUCUUCUUCGGUUUUGAAAGAAGGAUGAGCGAGAGAGACGGCGCGUUUCGCGACGACGACGCUCGACGGUCGAUGUCGCCGUGCUGCUGCCGUCGUUAUUCCUGCUACUGCCGUUGCUGCCGUUGCUGCCGUUGUUGCUGCUCUUGGUAUGACACGCUGCGGAACUUUUCCUUGCCAGAGGGACCGUAGAGAGAGAGAGAACGAGUAAGACUGAUGAGAUAAAGAGAGGAGGAGUUUUAAGCGGAUAUAGAUGAGAUACAGAACGAGAGAAAAAGAGAGAGAAGAAAAA
rnacentral:lncRNA from 1 species